GGCCUCGUAGCUCAGCUGGUAGAGAGAGAAAGAGCGUGCGCUGUACAAAAGCGUAGGCGGCGUCCAUGCGUAGGUUCGAAUCCCACCGAGGCUA
rnacentral:tRNA from 1 species